rnacentral:rRNA from 1 species
AGAGUUUGAUCAUGGCUCAGGACGAACGCUGGCGGCGUGCCUAACACAUGCAAGUCGAACGGAGUUGAAAGGAGCUUGCUUUUUUCAACUCAGUGGCGGACGGGUGAGUAACGCGUGAGUAACCUGCCUUUCAGAGGGGGAUAACGUUCUGAAAAGAACGCUAAUACCGCAUAAGAUUGUAGUUUCGCAUGGGACAGCAAUCAAAGGAGCAAUCCGCUGAAAGAUGGACUCGCGUCCGAUUAGAUAGUUGGCGGGGUAACGGCCCACCAAGUCGACGAUCGGUAGCCGGACUGAGAGGUUGAUCGGCCACAUUGGGACUGAGACACGGCCCAGACUCCUACGGGAGGCAGCAGUGAGGGAUAUUGGGCAAUGGGGGAAACCCUGACCCAGCAACGCCGCGUGAGGGAUGACGGUUUUCGGAUUGUAAACCUCUGUCCUCUGUGAAGAUAGUGACGGUAGCAGAGGAGGAAGCUCCGGCUAACUACGUGCCAGCAGCCGCGGUAAUACGUAGGGAGCGAGCGUUGUCCGGAUUUACUGGGUGUAAAGGGUGCGUAGGCGGAUUGGCAAGUCAGAAGUGAAAUCCAUGGGCUUAACCCAUGAACUGCUUUUGAAACUGUUAGUCUUGAGUGAAGUAGAGGUAGGCGGAAUUCCCGGUGUAGCGGUGAAAUGCGUAGAGAUCGGGAGGAACACCAGUGGCGAAGGCGGCCUACUGGGCUUUAACUGACGCUGAGGCACGAAAGUGUGGGUAGCAAACAGGAUUAGAUACCCUGGUAGUCCACACUGUAAACGAUGAUUACUAGGUGUGGGGGGUCUAACCCCCUCCGUGCCGGAGUU